GUGGAUAUGGUGAAGCGGUUAACACAAACGACUGUGACUCGUUCAUACGUGGGUUCGAUCCCCACUAUCCACC
rnacentral:tRNA from 1 species